ACAAGUCACCACCACCUCCACACUAUCACCAUAAGUCUCCACCUCCAUACCACUACAAGUCACCACCUCCACCAUCCCCUUCACCUCCUCCUCCUUAUGUCUACAAGUCUCCACACCUCCGUCACGUCACCUCUCUCAUACGUCUAUAAUCUCAACACACAUCUCAUCCCACUCUCCUUAUGUGUACAAUCUCACCACACAUCUCAUNNNNNNNNNNNNNNNNNNNNNNNNNNNNNNNNNNNNNNNNNNNNNNNNNNNNNNNNNNNNNNNNNNNNNNNNNNNNNNNNNNNNNNNNNNNNNNNNNNNNGUUGACAACAAGUGUGCUGGUGAAUAAUAAGGGUCUAGCAGAACCCUUCUUGUAAUCUGUUGUAAGCACUUAUUGUAUUACUUCUUUAAAGAGAUUAAUUGAAUCAAAUGAAAGUGAAGAACAUUAAUUUCAUGUACUUGUUAAUCUAGUAUAUGCCCCUAUGACUUUUGGGUUAAUUAGUUCUGUGCUUCUUUGUUGAAAAGUUAAUGCAUGAUAAUGCAUAUCACUUUAUCAUCGUUAUUAAAUAGUAAACAUGCAUGCAUUUUAUAAUAAAUUUGGUACCUGGAUGUUUCAAGUUGUAACCAAAGCUCAAUUGGCCAGAUACGAAAUCAAAUUUAAGAAUUGUUUAAUCUGAUAGUUGACGUGACUUACUGUUUAUGUUCAUAUGUUUGGGAAACAUUACUGCAAUUGAGUGGACAGAGAUAUGUUUAUGUCCAUUGGGCCUACUCUCGGAACUUAGCUGGCAUGAACAAAUUAAUAGUUGACUACUGGGCACUUAAACAUACCCAAAUUUUUUUAGAGGCUAUUGAUUUUGAGUAGGAAUCCCCGUUGGGUCCGGUCCCAGGCUUAAUCGGGAAGAUUUCGGGGUAAAAUUAGAGGCUGGUAUGUGAAUCUCUAAAUUUUUAAAAUUCCCUGUCAAGGAUGGUAUUGUCACUACAAAAAAAAAGUGGUAACAGUCACCAUUAUUUAGUGACAUUUGCUGGGGCGAUUAAAGGUUUUAGUCACUAAAAAAGUCUUUUUUGGUGACUUCAAAAAUGCCUUUUGUGACUAAAGCCUUUAGUCACCCCAACAAAUAUCACCAAAUAAUGGUCACUAUUGCCACUUUUGUUUUUUUGAGGUGUUAUCCCCUUCUCCAAACCCGGUCUAAUAAGGGAAAUAUUUAUUUGGGUAAAAAAACACUUUUGGCCACUAGGGUUAGAGUUGAAAACGAUUUUGGACAUGGAUCCGUUGUCCCUAUUUUUCAUGUCCCUCCAUGUCCCUUUUCUAAUUUCUUGACAAGUGUCCACCUACUUAACCCCAAACUAAUACUGUUAAUUUGUAAUAAAAUAUUUAAAAAACAUAAAAACUAAAAUCGAAAAACAAAAACCAAGCAGACACCACAACCCCGCCCCACCUCAGCAGCCCCCUGAGCCUCUCCCAUCUUCACCAUCGGCGAAGCAUCCCCUCUUAUUUGUCUCUCUUUCCUUCUUCUAUCUCACUGCCUCUCCUGAAUUUGUUCCUCUUUCCCUCCUCUUUCGUGGUGUGGGUGUGACGAGGAAUAGUGUUUCUAAGCAAUAAUAGUCAUAAUCUCAAAGUUUAAGUCAUAGUGUUUCUAAGCAAUAAUAGUCUUCAGUCACCAUUGAAUUCUACGAGGGUUUAGAUCAAAUCGGCAUCAACAAAAAUUAACAAAUAAUAUUUCAAGGGUUGUGUGACUUGCAACACUUCGUAGAAAAGAUUGGGACAAAAUUCAAAGGAGAGAUAUAUAUAUAUAUAUAUAUAGAGAGAGAGAGCUUCCAUUGAGGGAUCCCUCAAAUAACUUAUUUGAGGAAUACCCCUUGUAGGCCCCACUUCGAAUUGUAUCUCAUUCAUCCAAACAGUCUAUUUUGUAGAUACUCAUUCAAAGAUCAUCUCUACAAAAAAUCACUUGAAUCCGAUAUCAGUUGACCACUCAAUUGAGUUAUUGAAAUUUUAGUACUUUUUUGAAGCACCGUGUUCAUUGAUUUUGUAAGACACAAUUGGAUGUCGAAACGGUUUCCGAUUUGUCUAAUUUUUUGUAAGGAUAAUCUAUGAAUGAAGACCUAAAAAAUAGAUGAUUUGGAUCAUUGGAAAAAAAAAUUGUAAGGUACCCUAAAGGGCGUUCCUCAAAUAAUUUGAGGGAUCCCUCAAUAGAAGGGGAUAUAUAUAUAUUUAUAUAUUAGGAGUCUAAACCAGCGGUUUUAGUAUUUCCUCUUCAGCAAUUGGUGGGCUAUGCUUGUGUACUAGUUCUCCAAUAUCGAAUGUGUGAGGUUGAUUAUGGUAUAGGGCAGAAACAAACAUACCUUACAAGUGAAAUCACAUAGUACUAAACUGGAAUUGAAGUUCUUUUCUCUUUUUCCCCCCCUUUGGGAAGGAUAAUCUCUUUAAAUUGUACGCAGAUGUGUACAAAAUGAGUGGUUUUUGUAUUGUCUAAAACUGAGAAGGGAAAUAUUUUUGCCUAUCUUUUUGGCUCCUUUUUGUGUUUUCUUAUUUGUCGAGGAUAAUAGAAGGGUUGGUUAGAUGAGCAUCGAUCCACGACAAUGUCAACUUAGGCGGUGACCUCUUAGUUGGAAUCGAGAGUCCCUUUUUUGUUUUGGUUAGAAUGAAAACAAAGUCUGCAGUCGAUAUAUACCUUUAACUAAGUUUCCCUUGUUUUUCUUUCUUUGCAUUUGUUUUUCUUCCUUACCGACUAAUACGUACAAACAUGCAUAAGACUUUCAAUCUAAAUUUCAAACUUUUCUAGAAGUAGAGAGAGAGAGAUAGUAUAUAUAUAUAUAUUGAGCCAUCACUUGCCAAGUCUAAUGACACACAAGUAGGACACACACAUUAAAUGCAAGCUUGACCUUAAAUUUUUCUUCCCUCUUACACACAAGGGCCGAUUGAGUGAAAAUAAAAAUAAAAAAUUGAUUUAGAGAGACCAAAAUAUUAAAGAAAAUUUGAUAUUUCUCAAAAUUUUCAAUGUCUAAUAUAUUUUUUUAUUAAAUAUAUGUAAUAUAGUUUAUGUAAUUAACUUACUAUAAAUUUAUAUAAACAAAAACCAUAAUUUGCAGGGUAGUACAAAUAUCCACAAAUAAUUAAUACAAAGAUAGAAGCAUAGUAAGCACGUAAGGUUAAUCCAGAUACAUAGAAAGACACAGUACCGAGAACAUCAAGCGCACAAGGUGUAUCUCCACUAAUUAAUAGCCACAUAAUGCCAAAGAAAUUUUUGCAUAAAAGCUACAAGACUGCAUAAGACAGACAUGAACCGCAGUGCGUAAAACUACCAACACAACUGCAACUUUUAAACUCUCGCAAGUAGAACUUAUAAGUAAGUACCUAGACUACAAACAAACACCCAACUUACAAGAAUUGAUGAAAUUAUUACAACUCAAGAAUAUAUAAACACACAACAAGUGAGUAAAAGUUGCUAAGCCACUAAGCCACCUUGUAUGUCUCUAAAUUUGGCAACGAAACCACCAGUGCAUUGCUACUUCAUCGUCACCAAAGAUUCCAAUGAAAGCCAAAUCACAAGGCUGGGUUUUUUUUUUUUUUUGGAGAAAAACUUAGGUUGGUUUUAUUACUAGAGAAUUCGAAUGGCACAAUUGCUUUUCAGGUUCUCCAUCUUAAUUUGUAAUAGAAGUAACACAUUUAAAAGAUUUAUUUUUCUAGCUCUCAUAAAUAUGGAUGAGGUGAAACCAGCCAAAAGUUCCUCAGUCACACGCUAAACUGAAUAUCUUUAAACCUUAUUACUCUAGGUUGGUAAAAGAAUUUUCUCUUUUUAAUUCUUUGGUGCAACUCGAUCUCUUCUUUAUAGUUUUUUGAGAGUCGAUCACUUUUGACAAAGUGCCAAGUUGCCAACUAUGCUCCUAUUUACAUUACAUUGAAUAAAGAAAAAGAUAAUAUAGUGAGGAUAGAAUAGUUAUUAUCAGUUAUUCUAAAAUAAAAUAAAAUAAAACAAACUAAAAUUAUCCAUAUGUUUCUCCCACAAUUUUUUGUCACUAUUUCUUAUUAUCUACUUCUCGAGCAAUAAUUGUCUCACAUACAAAGCAUUCUAGUAAUAGUAAUAUAAGGACUAAUGAACUAAUGCAAAAACAUUAAGGGCCCUUAAUUGAGUUCGGCAAUUCAAAUCCAAAAAUUCAAUUGGCAAAGUACAAUGUGUGUUUAUUUAUUUGGGUUAAAUAUUUUUUUGGUCACUAGAAAAAAAUUCAGCCAAAUUGGUCACUGUGUUUUCCGAAGUAUACAAUUUAUUGACAUUCUGUUAUCUUUCAUUAAUUGCAGUUUUUUUUAAAAAAAAAAAAAUAGGAAUCACCUUCUGUCUUCUUCCUUUAACUCAACAAGUUAUGGUAUAUUGUGCUAUUAGAGUUCAGCAAAUUGGGGGAAAUCUUGGGUUGAAAUCGAAAUCGUGAGGCAUGAGGAAAAUCAAAAGGCCAAACCAAAUUAAAAUGAAAUCAACAACUUACUAAUAUAUUUUGGUGCUCUAUCACAUUGAUUGUGUCUCCUUGUCAUCCGAAGUCACAAUACAAUUCUCACUCAAUCGAUUCAGGCUUCAAUAUAAUACCCAAUUAUUCGUGACCUUAUACCUCAUCAUUUCGAUUUCAACCCAAAAUUUCCCCCCAUCUUUAAAACUCUUAUAGCACAAUAACCUAACUUGUUGAGUUAGCGAGUUAGAGGAAGAAGACUUGAACGUGCUUCUUGGAAAUAUAAAAAUAAAAACUGCACUUAAUGGAAGUUAACGGUAGAUAACAAAAUGUCUAAAUUGUAAACUUAUGGAAAUAUUGUGAUCAAUCUGACUAAAUUUUUUUCUGAAUGACUAAAUUGAAUUUCCGUGUAAUGACCAAAAAGAUAUUUAAUCCUAUUUAUUUUUAUGAAGCAAAACUCUAAUGUUAAUGGAUGAAAGCUUUACACCUUUUAAUUAGCUAAGCACUUUUGAUAAUCCAGUAAAGUAUUUUUCAUAAUGGGUCAAAGUGUUCAGUUAUAUGCAAGCUAGCGUUCGAACUUUACCUUUUUUUACCAUAUAUAUUUAUUAUUACUUCACUAGUUGCUGGAGAACAGACCAACCCUUUUCAUUUUCACUCUCCAGCCGUACAACACUUACCUACCACACGGUUUGACUUGUCCAUGGCCUUCAUGAAAGAUCAAAGUUGAAAAAUCUUUGUGGGAACCCAAAUUCACUGGUUGAAGCAUGCGAGUUCAACUGAUUGGCAUUUCAAAAUCUCAAAGUCACAUUUGGUAGAAAACUUAAAGCAUCAAUCCAGCCAAUUAUGCUGAAUAAGCAAACAUGUCUUAUUCAAAGAUGAUGUCAAAGAUUGCUAUAAAAGGGAUAGCUUUCUCACCAUUUCCAACCACCUCACUCACAAAACAAGUUCUAAGAACUACAAUUUGUGGCAGAAAUGAGAACCUCAGGACAGCUGAGGCAUUGCCCUACAAUGUUUUAUGCCUUGGCAUUGUGCCUCUUGGCCACAAGUGUGCUUGCCACUACGCCUUAUACUUAUUCUUCACCACCUCCACCAAAGCACUUGGAGACCCCUCCAACCCAUUACAAGUCCCCCCCACCACCGAAGUAUGUAAAACAUCCACCACCUCCAUCACCAUCACCCCCGCCACCCUAUUAUAAGUCUCCACCACCGCCUUCUCAUUCGCCGCCUCCUCCUUAUGUGCACAAAUCUCCUCCACCACCCACUCACUCACCACCUCCACCAUAUGCUUACAAGUCACCACCUCCCCCUUCUAAAUCACCACCUCCUCCUUAUGUCCACAAAUCUCCUCCUUAUGUCCACAAGUCACCACCUCCACCAUCAUAUUCUCCUCCACCUCCUUACCACUACAAGUCACCACCACCACCAUCUCCAUCACCUCCCCCUCCAUACCACUACAACUCUCCUCCUCCUCCAGUGAAGUCACCUCCACCUCCCCAAUAUCACUACAAAUCACCUCCACCUCCAAAACACUACUAAGCUUUAUGGGAUUUUAGCGACUUGAACCAGUCCAAAUAAGGUCUUCGUUUCGAUGUUCCAGCGGUAUCACUUCUUUUUCUAGCUUUGUUCUAUUCGCAGACAAGUGUGUUUGUGAAUAAUAAAGGUC
rnacentral:lncRNA from 1 species